AUUGAACGCUGGCGGCAGGCCUAACACAUGCAAGUCGAGCGGGGUUUUCGGACCUAGCGGCGGACGGGUGAGUAAUGCGUAGGAAGCUACCCGAUAGAGGGGGAUACCAGUUGGAAACGACUGUUAAUACCGCAUAAUGUCUACGGACCAAAGUGUGGGACCUUCGGGCCACAUGCUAUCGGAUGCGCCUACGUGGGAUUAGCUAGUUGGUGAGGCAAUGGCUCACCAAGGCGACGAUCUCUAGCUGGUUUGAGAGGAUGAUCAGCCACACUGGAACUGAGACACGGUCCAGACUCCUACGGGAGGCAGCAGUGGGGAAUAUUGGACAAUGGGCGCAAGCCUGAUCCAGCCAUGCCGCGUGUGUGAAGAAGGUCUUCGGAUUGUAAAGCACUUUAAGUUGGGAGAAGGGCAGUAACCUAAUACGUUAUUGUUUGACGUUACCGACAGAAUAAGCACCGGCUAACUUCGUG
rnacentral:rRNA from 1 species